GAUGAACGCUGGCGGCGUGCCUAAUACAUGCAAGUCGAGCGAAUGGAUUAAGAGCUUGCUCUUAUGAAGUUAGCGGCGGACGGGUGAGUAACACGUGGGUAACCUGCCCAUAAGACUGGGAUAACUCCGGGAAACCGGGGCUAAUACCGGAUAACAUUUUGAACCGCAUGGUUCGAAAUUGAAAGGCGGCUUCGGCUGUCACUUAUGGAUGGACCCGCGUCGCAUUAGCUAGUUGGUGAGGUAACGGCUCACCAAGGCAACGAUGCGUAGCCGACCUGAGAGGGGGAUCGGCCACACUGGGACUGAGGCACGGCCCAGACUCCUCCGGGAGGCAGCAGUAGGGAAUCUUCCGCAAUGGACGAAAGUCUGACGGAGCAACGCCGCGUGAGUGAUGAAGGCUUUCGGGUCGUAAAACUCUGUUGUUAGGGAAGAGCAAGUGCUAGUUGAAUAAGCUGGCACCUUGACGGUACCUAACCAGAAAGCCACGGCUAACUACGUGCCAGCCGCCGCCGUAA
rnacentral:rRNA from 1 species